rnacentral:rRNA from 1 species
UACAGAGGUCUCAAGCGUUGUUCGGAUUCAUUGGGCGUAAAGGGUGUGUAGGUGGCGCGCUAAGUCGGGUGUGAAAUUUCGGAGCUUAACUCCGAAACUGCAUUCGAUACUGGCGUGCUUGAGGACUGGAGAGGAGACUGGAAUUCAUGGUGUAGCAGUGAAAUGCGUAGAUAUCUGGAAGAACACCAAAGGCGUAGGCAAUGUUCUGGCUCGCUUCUGACGCUCAGGUGCGAAAGCCAGGGGAGCGAACGGG